GACGAACGCUGGCGGCGUGCCUAAUACAUGCAAGUAGAACGCAGUUGCGAACGGGUGAGUAACGCGUAGGUAACUGCCUCAUAGCGGGGGAUAACUAUUUGAAACGAUAGCUAAUACCGCAUUCUGUGAGAUGGACCUGCGUUGUAUUAGGUAGUUGGUGAGGUAAAGGCUCACCAAGGCGACGAUACAUAGCCGACCUGAGAGGGUGAUCGGGCACACUGGGACUUGGACACGGGCCAGACUCCUACGGGAGGCAGCAGUAGGGAAACUUCGGAAAUGGACGGAAGUCUGAACAAGCAACGCCGCGUGAGUGAAGAAGGUUUUCGGAUCGUAAAGCUAUGUUGUUAGAGAAGCGGUAACUAAACAGAAAGGGACGGCUAACUACGUGCCAGCAGCCGCGGUAAUUC
rnacentral:rRNA from 1 species